GGACCCGAUAUUUCUCGACCCCAAGGAAAGGGCACAAUCCACUUCAAGGAAGAGCAUACUAUCAGCUCCUAGAAUGCCUUGGUGUUAUUAGGAUCCAUUCUCCAAUGAGAGCCGCAAGGAAGCAAGACUGGUCUGAUAUACCAAGUCCAGAAACAAUAAGCAGAGCUCACUCUGCUGCAGUACGCUUGAAAAAGAAUCAAGCUGGUCAAGAGGGUGAUCAGGGACAAUUCCGCAACUGUAAAGUAUGGGACACUCGGGCCCUUACGGCAGUGGACCUGUAUCUGGAUCACCAGAUAUGAGUGAUGUCCGGAAGAACUCAAACUACAGCAGAUGGGAGAUCAUGCCUUUUGAGAAAUUAAGUAAAGCCGCACAAGAUCAUUUCACUCAGAUGGAGGGCGUAGCCUUGUACAAAAUGGAUGGUAAUAAGUUGGAUGAUCUAGUCUGUGUGAGGCAUUCCUUGAAGUCUGAAGUGUGAUAGCAUCAUCAGCCUUUGGCUAACUGGGAGCUGCUGCAGUUACCUCUCUUUAUUGGGAU